rnacentral:sRNA from 1 species
AUGAGCAAAUGAACUUUUGAACAUUUUUUU